UGGGACAUUUGAACAACACUCGUAAAGCCACACUUGAAUAGCCAGUGGCAUUUUCUGAAUCAAAUAAAAUUGACCAUCAGCUUUCAACCGGUUGUUCAAACUUCUGGUCAGAUCUUCAAAAGAUAAAGAACCCCAUGGAAAAUCCUUAUAUCUUCCACUAUCGACCAAAUCGAAAUGAAGAUGGGGUAUAACCACAGUUUCAACAUUAGAUAAGACAAAUGAAUGCAG
rnacentral:lncRNA from 1 species